AAUACCCUAUUAUUUUAAAAGUAAUUAAUUAAAUCUAAUUAGUAAUAGUUAAGUUCUUGAAAAUUAAAGAAUUUGGCGGUAUUUUAGUCUAUUCAGAGGAAUCUGUCCUAUAAUUGAUAAUCCACGAUUUUUUAUAUCUAAAUUAUUAAUUUACAUAUCGCCGUAGUUUGAAUAUUUUUUGAAAAUUAUAAUAUUCAUAAUUUAUUUUUAUAAAAAAAAUCAGGUCAAGGUGUAGUUUAUAUUUAGGGAGAGAUGGAUUACAAUAAAAAUAUUUAUUAUGGAUUAAUUAAUUAAAUUUUUUUAUGAAAGUGGAUUUGAAAGUAAUUUUAUUUA
rnacentral:rRNA from 1 species